CGCAGUUCUCGUGGGAGGAGCGGGGCACCGCGUUCCUGGCCAGGCAGGCUGGAAACGGUAUCUCUUAACGGUUCCCUGCCCGUUGGUGGCAAGGCGGCUGGACUAGAAUCUCAGCAGGCGACAUGCGAGGAGGCGGGCAAUCCAGGAGGGUUGGGCAAGGCAGUGUGGACCUCACCGCUUCCACACCGAUGCUGGCUACUGAUCGCGGGCACCUCUUUGCCAUGGGAAGCCAGUUCUUGGAGACACUAGGAAGCCAAGAGUUUCCUCCAAGAAUGGAGAUUCCUUGGAAGUGAGGUUCACCUUGAGUCAAGAAAGACGAAUCACACAUGGUCAAAGGCCAUUGCCCAGGGUCUCAAGAGUAGCCAGAAAGAAGAGCUGGGGCUGGUGGGAUUGUGGGGGUCCUCUCUCCCACCUGAAAACUACUGCUGCCUGCUGACCCUCUCAAGAGGAGACCUCUCUGGGCUCCAGCACCUAAAACAGAUAAACCUGGGAGGAUGUUUCUCUCCUCUGUGUCACACAUGUCCUGGAGAAAACCUGUGUAUC